CUGACAUUGUUACGGCCACCAUUUUGUCAGAUCUGUGACUAAGCAAAUGUUGACAGGCAUCUUUUAUCUACUCCCCAAAUUCCCUUGUUGGAGCAUUAUCUAGUCCUCGGACCACCGACCCAAGAGAAGAGACCUGAGCAAACAAGGGGGAGCUGCCACCACAGGGCGGGUAUGGGCCAUGGACAAAUGCUCAUUCCUGAAGCUUCAUGCAGGCUAAUCAUAGCUCACAGUAGCGCCCAUUAGCUCUGUAAUGAAAUAAUACCCCUGAGGGUUAGAAG